rnacentral:rRNA from 1 species
CGUAGGUGGCAAGCGUUGUCCGGAUUUAUUGGGUUUAAAGGGUGCGUAGGUGGCCCUGUAAGUCAGUGGCGAAAUAUCUCAGCUUAACUGAGAGGGUGCCAUUGAUACUGCAGGGCUUGAGUACAGAUGAGGUAGGCGGAAUUGACGGUGUAGCGGUGAAAUGCAUAGAUAUCGUCAAGAACACCGAUAGCGAAGGCAGCUUACCAAGCUGUAACUGACACUGAGGCACGAAAGUGUGGGGAUCAAACAGGAUUAGAUACCCUGGUAGUCCACACUGUAAACGUUGAUGACUCGAUGUUGGCGAUACACAGCCAGCGUCCAAGAGCAAUCGUUAAGUCAUCCACCUGGGGAGUACGCCGGCAACGGUG